AUAACUUCUUCUUAUUCUUUUGAUUCCGUUGGUGAUAAGAGGAUUCUUCCUAUUUCUCUAGUAUUAUAUUGUACAUAUCAUAGAUCAAAUGGAACAGGCCUUGCUCCAAUUUUUUUUAUGUCGGACAUGAGGGCAGGAUACCACUUUGAUCAAGUAAUGGUUCAUGGUAAUGCUUAUUGGUUUAUUCUUGCUCACAUCUUUUAUAAUCUUGCCAAGAGUGGGAUUCUUUUUCUCUGCUUGUUAAGGUAACUUUCUUAUGGAACUUUUGGCUUCCCUUUGUUCUUUUUUUUUUACUGAACUUACAAAAAUUUGAACAUUUUGUAUGCCUGAAUGAAGAAAUUAGCACAUGAGGCCUCUAGGGAGAGAUGUCAACAUGAGUGAUCUGCUCUUCCAGCUGAAUAAUUGUUCAAUGUAUUAGAUCAAAAUGGUUUUCUUGCUUAUACAGAACAGCUGAUGCAUGGUUUCCUGGUAAUAAUUUUGUGAUUGCUGUGACAUCUCACAUAUGUUCAGUGUUCUCACCCAGGACAAGGCACAAAGGAGAAGCUAAUGAGGAGUUGGAGUAAAAUCGUAUUGUAAAUGAACUAAUAUAAAUCGUGAAGGAAGAUUAUCUGAUGCAUUUCUUUUUCAAGAAAAUGUGUGGAGUAUGAGAGGCGUGUCGGGGAUGAAGAUCGGAUUGUGGCCAGGAAGAAAAGGCCAUGGGUUGUGGAGACCACUGCCUUUGCUUGAAAGAUGGAAGAAAAACACUGAAAGAUAUACACCUAAUGCUUUCAAUCCAUGGAGAACAACUCAUCUAUAUUCAAUUAGGGCAACAUUCCACAUGAAGUAUUAAAAAGGUAUG